AGGAGAUUUUUUUUUUUUUUUUUUUUUUUUUUUUUUAAUAAAAAGUUUUUUUUUUGUUUUUUAUUUAUUUUUAUUUAAUUAUUUAUUUAUUUUACUGUAAGGGUUUAUUUUUUUUCUUAUAUAAGUUUAAAUUUUUUUUGUACCUUUUGUAUCAGGGUUAAUUUAUUUUUUUUAUAUAUUUAAUUUUCCCGAAUUUUUAAUAUUUAUGUUUUUUUGUAUUUUAUUGUUGAAUAAAUAUUUAUAAAAUAUUCAUGGUUUUGAAAUGAAAUUCGUUUAAUUUGAUAUCUGGUUAAUUGAGAGUAAAAUUUAAUUUUGGUUUCUAAUUUUUUUUUUGUUUUUAUUUACUUAGUUACUUAUAUUAAGGGGGAUAAGCUCUUUAUUAAGAUAUAAUUUUUUUUUUCUUUUUUUUUGUAGGAUUAGAAUUUUUCUUCAUUUAAAUUUUGUUAAAAAUUGUAUUUUGUAUUUUUUUUUUUUUUAUUUUUUUAUCAAUUUUUUUUAUCUAAUUUUUUUUUUUUUGAUAAUGAUUGAAUUAGUAAAUUUGAAAUUUUUCUUUAUGAAUUCGGCAAAUUUUAUUUCCCGCCUGUUUAACAAAAACAUGUCUUUUAGGGUUUAUUUAAAGUCUAACCUGCUCAAUGAAUUUUAAAUAGCCGCAGUAUAUUGACUGUGCAAAGGUAGCAUAAUAAUUAGUCUUUUAAUUGAGGUCUGGUAUGAAUGGUUGGACGAGGAAAUUUCUUUAUUUAGGUAAAGUUAAUUUAAUUUAUAUUUUUGGUUAAAAUACCAGGAUUUUUAAAAGGGACGAUAAGACCCUAUAGAUCUUUAUAAUAUUUUAUUAUUUGGUUUUUUUGUUGUGUUUUUUUAUUUAAUAUUUUUUUAUUUAGUUGGGGUGAUUAAUAAAAUUUUAAACUUUAUUUUUUUUUUACAAUUAUUUUUGGUUUUUUGAUCCUUAAAUUUAGAUUAUAAGAUUAAGAUACCUUAGGGAUAACAGCAUAAUUUACCUGGAGAGUUCUUAUUGAUAGGUUUGUUUGUGACCUCGAUGUUGGAUUAAAAUUUAUUUGUGGGGUAGUUUUUACAAUUCUAGGUCUGUUCGACCUUUAAAAUUUUACAUGAUCUGAGUUCAGACCGGCGUGAGCCAGGUUGGUUUCUAUCUUUUUACUAUUUAUUCCAAUUAGUACGAAAGGACUUUUGGGAUGUAAAAUUUAUU
rnacentral:rRNA from 1 species